UACAGAGGUCUCAAGCGUUUGUUCGGAUUCAUUGGGCGUAAAGGGUGCGUAGGCGGCGCGGUAAGUCGGGUGUGAAAGCCCCGGGCUCAACCUGGGAAUGCCAUUCGAGACUGCAUAGCUAGGGUGCGGAAGAGGGAAGCGGAAUUUCCGGUGUAGCGGUGAAAUGCGUAGAUAUCGGAAAGGAACACCAGUGGCGGAAAAGCGGCUUCCUGGUCCAG
rnacentral:rRNA from 1 species